GAAACUGGACUCCUUGUCAAACUUUACCUCCAAUGUUGGCUUUGAUGUCUCUACUUUCCAUGAUGGAACAUUAGGUACAUUUAGUUUGACUUGUCUGAGCUCAUAAUACCCAAGUUCAUAUAACUUUUCACACUCCAGCGACUGCAAGCUCCCCAAAGGAGCUGAGUCCUCUGAAUCUUUGAGCCUAAAUCGUCUCAUCCCAUUUGCCUACAUUACACUCUAUCACAAGAUCUUCCGCGCAGGUUUAAGAAACCUGAAUCGUCCUCUAUUUUAUCCGGAGACACGCCGUCAGCCACAAUGCAGGUACCUUCCCUCAAUUAGCAGUCAGGCAUCCCCCUGCCUGAAUCCAUCAAGUUCUGCCUCCUACCUCGUUUGUCUGCUCUUCACUCCUCGUCUUAAUUCCAUAUUUUCUGCCCGAGAGAAAUCUCUUCCGACAUGCGUGAUUACAAGAAAGCCUUUCAAUGUCCUUUCCCAUCAUACUUACUCAGCUGUGAUGGAGCCUAAUUUAGCUCAAUGGAAGAUGGAGUGUGAAAUUCGUUAUUAUCUAUGUGUCUUUUUUUUCCUUGUGUGCAGUGGGAUAUUUGCUUGAGAGCACAACUUUUUUUUUUCUUUUUUUUUUUCCCCCCCAAUCAGUCAGUCAGAUGGUCAAUGACUCAGUCGUUGCGUUUGGGGAAAGAUGGCAAAUCAGUGGCACCAAGCUGAGAGGCGUCUCGCUCCAAUUGAAGGAGGUGGUUUAAUCAUAAAUUUCUGAUGAUUCCUUGAUAGAGGCAGUAUGUUUUAACCAUUAAAUGAAGCAGCGCUUACUUGACAUUUAUGAAGGUACACUUACACAUCGGUGUGGUGUUGCACACAGACAAUGAACACGUUCUACACAGCUUACGCUUCUGUAAUGCUGUUUUUGUUCUCUGCGAUUUGCUUAUGACUGCUGCCGUGUGUAACAUAACAUAUGAUGAACCAUUCUUAUGUAAAAAUAGUAACUAAAAAAGUUGCAAGGCAUAUAUAUAUAUAUAAGUAUGCUAUGAGAUAUAUAUGGUGUUAUUGUAAGCCGUCCUCUCUGGGGGCUUCUUCAUUGGUUUUUCUUUGUGAUUUUUUUCUUCACAGGGAGAAGUUUAUAACUCCUUAAAAACGCAAACAGCAGUAACCACAAAGCCCAACUGCUGGGAAGCAUCUUAUUAAUUGUAAUAAAUUACCAGCUUGCUUACAUAAGUAGAAUCUGGAGGAUUGUGGAUGGGCCUUUUCCACCAGUAUGCCGAAGACAGUAAUGAAGCAGAUGAAUGAAGAUAGUGGGGUUUCUGGAUUUGCAUAGAAGAUCAGCAGCAGGAAAUAAAAGGUCCUCUGGGUUGUGACCCACAGAAGAGAGACAACGUUCGUCGACAUCAACGCAGCCAGGCCAUCACAGCAACUGCAAUUUCGAGCGAGCAUUGCUCAGCGUCGUGGGUGAUUAUUUAAACUUUGAAGCAGUCGGAGGGCAGCCGCUGUGCAUGCCGUACAGGGGCACGGGCACAAUACUUCCAACGCUUGAGAAAAACAAAUCAGCGAAUUUGAGGCAGCUCAAAUCACACGACAAAAUAUGUGGCGAAGCGAUCAUCCGCCGUCAGAUACUGCCUUGCCUUAAGUUUAUUUUAAGAUGUCGGCCGUCACGCGAAGUGGCACAUUGCAGCAGGCUAUUUUUGUUUGUUUUUUUGUUUUUUUUCUACGCUGGGGUCUGCACGUUGGGAGUUUUACAUUCAUUAUGGUAAUUACCCAUGGCAGCCAGUGAUGACUCCUGCAUGCUGUGUGUCCACUGAGCUGGCAUCAUUGAAGGGGCAGGGCCUACACUCUAAAUUACUACACACAGUGUUUCCCUCAUAAAUUUGUGAAUCUGUGCUACAGGCGUUCCCUGUAAGCACAUUCGUCGUGUGCAGCUUUUUCUCUUCUUCCUUCCCUUCCCUUCUUACUUUCAUUGUCCCGGGUGUUGGCCAUCAUGGUGGAGUUCUUUCUGUGGCUGUGAGUGCCAACGUCUCUCCAUCGGCACAUCAAGACAAACAGAGGGGCAUUAUCAGACGGAGGGAUAGACUCCUGCAUUCAGUCUUUGACUAUAAAUAACCUCCCAACACAUUGACAUUCAUGAAGUGAAGUGGUAGCUUUGAGAAGAACUGGCACUCUGUGCACAGCCUGUUUUUAAUUUAAUUUCACAAAUCCAACAUCACUGUGUCAAAGUCAGGCAGUCCUUCCUUUCUUCUUCUUGUUAGAUUGUCAUGUAAACUGAACAGUACUUAUGAAAUCUGUUUUUGUCUUAAAAAGGUUUUCUUGAAACACACGUAUACAGCUUGUUUCAAUAUUUUUUUUCUCUGUUAAUUUGCUGGUCCUGCUGAUUAUAUUUCUAUGCAGGGCAGUUUAGUGAGACUUUUAGGCUAAGAUGUAUGUGUUUACUUAGCUUUCUUUUAUAUUUAUAUAUAAUUGUAUUAAUAUUUUUGUUGAUAACACUUUGACUAGACCACUCCAAAAUGUCCUUUUUUUUUUUACCAGUUAGACUUUCUGGUGUUCUUUGGAUCGUUAUCCUGUUUCACAACCCAAAGGAGUUGGGCUAAACAUUGAUGGUUUAAUAUUCUCCUUUAGAUUCUUCUCUUUAAAAAUAAAAAAAAUGAACAU